rnacentral:rRNA from 1 species
AGACCCGAAACCCGGUGAUCUAGCCAUGGGCAGGUUGAAGGUUGGGUAACACUAACUGGAGGACCGAACCGACUAAUGUUGAAAAAUUAGCGGAUGACCUGUGGCUGGGGGUGAAAGGCCAAUCAAACCGGGAGAUAGCUGGUUCUCCCCGAAAGCUAUUUAGGUAGCGCCUCGUGAAUUCAUCUCCGGGGGUAGAGCACUGUUUCGGCUAGGGGGCCAUCCCGGCUUACCAACCCGAUGCAAACUGCGAAUACCGGAGAAUGUUAUCACGGGAGACACACGGCGGGUGCUAACGUCCGUCGUGAAGAGGGAAACAACCCAGACCGCCAGCUAAGGUCCCAAAGUCAUGGUUAAGUGGGAAACGAUGUGGGAAGGCCCAGACAGCCAGGAUGUUGGCUUAGAAGCAGCCAUCAUUUAAAGAAAGCGUAAUAGCUCACUGGUCGAGUCGGCCUGCGCGGAAGAUGUAACGGGGCUAAACCAUGCACCGAAGCUGCGGCAGCGAACGUAUCACCCAAGACAACUUUACGGAGUUGGCGAUUGACGGAGCGAAGCGACGUCAAAGCGUUCAUUAAAGUCGAGUUGGCUUAGGGAUACGUUCGUUGGGUAGGGGAGCGUUCUGUAAGCCUGUGAAGGUGUGUCGUGAGGCAUGCUGGAGGUAUCAGAAGUGCGAAUGCUGACAUAAGUAACGAUAAAGCGGGUGAAAAGCCCGCUCGCCGGAAGACCAAGGGUUCCUGUCCAACGUUAAUCGGGGCAGGGUGAGUCGACCCCUAAGGCGAGGCCGAAAGGCGUAGUCGAUGGGAAACGGGUUAAUAUUCCCGUACUUGGUGUUACUGCGAAGGGGGGACGGAGAAGGCUAUGUUGGCCGGGCGACGGUUGUCCCGGUUUAAGCGUGUAGGUGUGUGUUCCAGGUAAAUCCGGUUCACUUUAACACUGAGGCGUGACGACGAGGCACUACGGUGCUGAAGCAACAAAUGCCCUGCUUCCAGGAAAAGCCUCUAAGCAUCAGGUAACACGAAAUCGUACCCCAAACCGACACAGGUGGUCAGGUAGAGAAUACCAAGGCGCUUGAGAGAACUCGGGUGAAGGAACUAGGCAAAAUGGUGCC